AAAAAGUGAUUUCCAUUAACAGCAAAAGAGAAUGUUUAACUUUGGAUAAACCCUUUUUAAGAAGUCCCCUAUUUUUAUCUCGUAUGUCGAUACUAUACGUCGUUUAAUUGCACUGGUUGUUAAAGUAAAAUACAAAACAGACACUGAGAAGAUACCAUAAACUAUAGAGUUAGGAGAAUCGACUAAAUGCGAAUAUAAAUACACAAAGGGUGUGGACAAAAGAGAAUUUAAGCAACAGUAAGAAAAAUAUAUACAUUUUUUCUUACAGCCACUGUUCAUAAAAUGUGAUAUGUCAGAAAUGCUUCGCUGUCUGACUCAAAUCCAAGGCACCACGCGCCGACGGUGUUGCUUGGCCCUCAUUUUCCAAUUAAAUAUCGACAGUUCAUAAAUCAUUAAAUAUACUGUUUUCUGUCAACAAAUGAUUUUUCGAAAAAAUACUGGAAGAGAUCAUCUUCGUUAAAGUACUACUGGAACAGUUAG
rnacentral:lncRNA from 1 species